rnacentral:rRNA from 1 species
CAUGGGGAAACCCUGAUCCAGCCAUGCCGCGUGUGUGAGAAGCUUUUGUGUAAAGCACUUUAGCAGUGAAGAAGACUCUCGGUUAAUACCCGGGGACGAUGACAUUAGCUGCAGAAUAAGCACCGGCUAACUCUGUGCCAGCAGCCGCGGUAAUACAGAGGGUGCAAGCGUUAAUCGGAAUUACUGGGCGUAAAGCGAGCGUAGGUGGCUUGAUAAGUCAGAUGUGAAAUCCCCGGGCUUAACCUGGGAACUGCAUCUGAAACUGUUAGGCUAGAGUAGGUGAGAGGGAAGUAGAAUUUCAGGUGUAGCGGUGAAAUGCGUAGAGAUCUGAAGGAAUACCGAUGGCGAAGGCAGCUUCCUGGCAUCAUACUGACACUGAGGCUCGAAAGCGUGGGUAGCAAACAGGAUUAGAUACCCUGGUAGUCCACGCCGUAAACGAUGUCUACUAGUCGUUGGGUCCCUUGAGGACUUAGUGACGCAGCUAACGCAAUAAGUAGACCGCCUGGGGAGUACGGCCGCAAGGUUAAAACUCAAAUGAAUUGACGGGGGCCCGCACAAGCGGUGGAGCAUGUGGUUUAAUUCGAUGCAACGCGAAGAACCUUACCUGGUCUUGACAUAUCUAGAAUCCUGCAGAGAUGCGGGAGUGCCUUCGGGAAUUAGAAUACAGGUGCUGCAUGGCUGUCGUCAGCUCGUGUCGUGAGAUGUUGGGUUAAGUCCCGCAACGAGCGCAACCCUUGUCCUUAGUUACCAGCGGGUUAAGCCGGGAACUCUAAGGAUACUGCCAGUGACAAACUGGAGGAAGGCGGGGACGACGUCAAGUCAUCAUGGCCCUUACGACCAGGGCUACACACGUGCUACAAUGGUAGGUACAGAGGGCAGCUACACAGCGAUGUGAUGCGAAUCUCAAAAAGCCUAUCGUAGUCCAGAUUGGAGUCUGCAACUCGACUCCAUGAAGUAGGAAUCGCUAGUAAUCGCGGAUCAGAAUGCCGCGGUGAAUACGUUCCCGGGCCUUGUACACACCGCCCGUCACACCAUGGGAGUUGAUUGCACCAGAAGUGGAUAGCUUAACCGUAAGGGGAGCGUUCACCACGGUGUGGUUGAUGACUGGGGUGAAGUCGAACAAGAGCUGUCCAC